GGGGGCCGGGGGGUCCCUGCGCCACCCGAGCCCCCCGGGCAUCUGGAGAGAGGAGCCACAGGUGGAGGAGAAGCUGCUGCUCCAGCCCCAGAGGUGAGCUCCAGCCCCAGAGGUGAGCUCCAGCCCCACAGGUGAGCUGCUUCCUGUCCUGAUCCCAGCACCGCUUCCAGCUGGAGCUGGAGCCUGUGGGAUGUGCAGAGACGUCCCUGAGCCCCCCGGGCAGGUGACACAGGGCUGCUGCAGCCCCUGUGUGCAGCCUGCUCAUGCAAUCCCCUGCACUGGGAGGGACCCACGAGGAUCAUCGAGGCCACGGCUGACGUGACACACACUGUGCCUGAUGCCCUGGGUGAGCACCGAGCAGAUCUGGAGCACGGAGAGCUCCUGGGAGCUGUGGAAUUGGGGCGGGAGCGCAGGCAGCGCGUGGUUUCCUCGGCCCAGCUCUCGUGGAUUCACUGGGUGACUCUGUCAGUGCCAAAGCAAAGGCAUCAACACAGCCAGGUGAGACCAAAAUCAGCCCUUUGGGACAAAUCCAGGCAGGGCUGCGCUCGCCGUUCCCUGGCACAGGAGCUGCGCUGCUCCCACGAGCCUUUCAUCCUGCUGGGACUCGAGUUCCUCUGGAGCAGAGAAGGCUCACGGUGUUAUUCUCAAAACAUCCGACCUGCCUGGCUUCGUGUGAGGAGUCAACCCCUGUGAAUCCUGGUGUUUGUCCCUCGAGUUUGCAGCAGGGAUGGUGUCAGGCUGACAGCUCCUCCCGCCACGUCCCAGGGUGGCUGGAAAAGGGUUCUGUGCGUCAAGGUCACUUUAUCUGCCCUCAUCACGGGCCAGAAACGCUCAUGUUAAUGGGUCUCUAAUUUAAUCAAAGUGCAGGGCUGGGAUCUUUUUUCCCUCUUGAAGGGCAAAAAUCAAUUUGCAAUGACAGUGGAUGCACCUCCUUGCUCCUCCAGGCUCCUGGCAGACCACUCAGCCCCACACAAAAUUAGGUGGAAUUAAAAAAACCCACCAGACUUAUUCAGUAAUUCAGACCCAGAAUUUAAAAUUGAAAUUCCUGUCUCAAACCAGCAAUCAAUUUUUUCAUUUGCAUAAAAUACUGUACUACUUUCUCCUUCUAUUCACAGUUUCAUCCCGUUUUUUAACUCUUGCUCUUUGCAUGUUUACAGAAUCGUAUAUUCUGAGUUGGAAGGGACUCACAAGGAAGUCCACCUUCUAUUAUAGAUGUUUUAUUUUUACUAAAUAUCAAUUAAGUAUAUAUAUAAAAAUGUAAAUUAUCAUUAUUCAGUGUUGUUAAUUUGCUCUCAGGUCUGGAAACUGAGUAAAUUUUUUCACAGUAAGAAAACAGUAAUAAUAGUAUUGUCUUGGUCUGUUGUCAAUAUUGGGCCUUUUUAGGUGCUUUUGAUCACUUUGGUGGCAGCGUCCCAUCCCCGCAGGCCUGUGUGCUCAGAAAAACCACUGGUGGGGUUUCAUAAUUACUGUAUGUGAUGUUUACAAACAGCCCUUUUCCUGCAAAUGCUGAAGGUGUAACAACACAUCAGGGAGGAAAAGGCCAAUUUUUGUGCUCUGGGAGACAGGGAAUGGGCGCUCCCUGCUUGGACAGAGCAAUCACAGGCACAUUUCCUUGCGUCUCCCUGCGUUUGUUUUUCUCUGUCUCAGCGCUCGGUUUGGAAAUCAAUCACCAAGGAGUCCUGAUUUCCAUCCUCCAGUGGUUUUCUUUAUUCCGUGCAGCCUGCCUCUGACCGGGACCGGAGAAGAGCGGGAGGAGGGCGACCACGCUCCUGCUGUGGACUGCAGUGGGAAUUACGAGGAAUUUCUGGAGGCAGCGCCGACGUGGCCAGACCUGUCCCUGGACGGGGGACACCCACGGUGACCCCCGAUGUGUCCGGUCCUGUCCCCUGCGCAGGGGACACCCACGGUGACACCACAGCCCCAUCCUCGCUGUGUUUCCUUCCCCUGUUCCUUCCUGCGUGUCUCCUCCUCUCCCACAUAUUUAUUCCCUCCCUCAAGUUCCUUUCUCUCCUACAUUUUAAAACACUUUUCUGCAUACACGAGAUUGUAACUGUCGUGUGAAACACUGAACAUUUUUAUUUUAAGGGCUUUUUCAAAACCCCGUAGCCCCUCACUGAGACACGUGUUUAUCUUUUUCAAUAUGGAAGUUUUUACUGCUGGAGGCGUUCUCACCUUAGGGAAACCUCAGGGUGAGUUUUUAAAACAUUCCAGUGGGAAACGGGCUGAGCAAAGAUCUUUUAUUAUUAUGCUUCGAACAACACUUUUGUUGCUUUGGCUGCUUCUCACACUCAUCGCGCUGAGCUCUCCCGACCGUGUGUGUGUGGGACAACACUGAGAAGG